UUUACUAAAAAAAAAUGUAAUAUUACGACUAAUAAUAAACUAAUUUUACUUGUGCGUUAAGAUAAACAGUGAGUUAGUGCUGAAAUUAGAAUAAACAUUUUGAGUUUGAAUUAAGUUCGAGCCAGAAUAAAACUGAGAAGGUAUGUACUGCUGGGUAUGGUAACUACAGGUAUGUACUGCUGGAUACCAUAACUACAGGUAUGUACUGCUGGAUAUCCUAACUACGGGUAUGUACUGCUGGAUACUCUAGCUACAGGUAUGACCUGCUGGAUACCGUAACUACAGGUAUGAACUGCUGGAUACCGUAACUACAGAAAAAUAAUUCUACUAUUAUAACACUGAUGCUAGUGUGAAACAUGGCUGGUUCAGGAGAUAUUACGUUGGAUCAUAUUAAUGACUUCUUCAGUCUGAAUAAGAAACCUCAACCGAUACAUAUUGGUCCCACAGCAACUGGGGGACAGGGUUUGGAGGUGUCUGGGUCAUCCAGUGUGCUGAACUUGAGUAACUUAAGAUUAUCUGAAAGUAAAGGAACUGACUAUGUUAAGAAAUAUCAAGAACAAGAAGAUAAACUGCUAAGACUG